UACGAAUGGGGCAAGCGUUGUUCGGAAUCACUGGGCUUAAAGCGUGCGCAGGCGGUUUUGCAAGUCAGAAGUGAAAGCCCGGGGCUUAACCCCGGAAUUGCUUUUGAAACUGCAAAACUAGAAUAUGGGAGAGGUUAGCAGAAUUCCGAGUGUAGAGGUGAAAUUCGCAGAUAUUCGGAGGAAUACCAGUGGCGAAGGCGGCUAACUGGACGACUGUUGACGCUGAGGUGCGAAAGCGUGGGGAGCAAACAGG
rnacentral:rRNA from 1 species